GCUGGAUGUGGUGGCGCACAUCUGUAAUCCCAGCUACUCAGGAGGCUGAGGCAGGAGAAUUGCUUGAACCUGGAAGACAGAGGCUGCAGUGAGCCGAGAUCACACCACUGUGCACCCUGCCUGGGUGACAAAGCCAGACUCUGCCUCAA
rnacentral:SRP_RNA from 1 species